rnacentral:rRNA from 1 species
AGAACGAACGCUGGCGGCAUGCCUAAUACAUGCAAGUCGAACGAACUCUUCGGAGUUAGUGGCGCACGGGUGCGUAACGCGUGGGAAUCUGCCCUUGGUUCGGAAUAACAGUUGGAAACGACUGCUAAUACCGGAUGAUGACGAAAGUCCAAAGAUUUAUCGCCAAGGGAUGAGCCCGCGUAGGAUUAGCUAGUUGGUGAGGUAAAGGCUCACCAAGGCGACGAUCCUUAGCUGGUCUGAGAGGAUGAUCAGCCACACUGGGACUGAGACACGGCCCAGACUCCUACGGGAGCAGCAGUAGGAAUAUGACAUGGCGA